rnacentral:rRNA from 1 species
UACGAGGGGGGCGAGCGUUGUUCGGAAUUAUUGGGCGUAAAGGGUGCGUAGGCGGUUUUGUAAGUCUUAUGUGAAAUCUAUGGGCUCAACUCAUAGACUGCAUGAGAAACUGCAGGGCUUGAGUAUGGGAGAGGUGAGUGGAAUUCCUGGUAUAGCGGUGAAAUGCGUAGAUAUCAGGAGGAACACCUGUGGCGAAAGCGGCUCACUGGACCAUAACUGACGCUGAUGCACGAAAGCUAGGGGAGCAAACAGG